GUGUUGUAUGAAAGGAGAGAAAGUCAGCACUCCCCUCUACAAGGUGGAAGGGGCUCUUGGGCCUGACAACAAACAUGUGGUAUAUGGUUAAGACAUUGAUACUUACUUUGUGGUAUAUAAUCAUAUUUUUAU